GGCACUUUCAAGAGAGCACCAGCUGUGGUAGUAGUCAGGAGCUCUAGGCUUGCCCUAAGACGGCCAAGGCUCCCCUGUUUCUCAGGCCUCCAGACUGAAGCUGAAUUAUACCACCAGCUCUCCUCAGUCUCCAGUUUGCAGACAACAGAUCAUGGGACUUCUCAGCCUCCAUAAUCACAGGAGUCAAUUCCUCAUAAUAAAUCUGUCUGCCCCC
rnacentral:lncRNA from 1 species